ACUACAAUAUUAUUACUAUGAUUUUCCUGAAAUGAUUCAAUGUGUACUGUUAUUAUUGUUAUUAUCAUUGCUGUGAGACAGAUUCAUGAUUUAGUGCAAUCAGGGUGGGGGUUCCUGGGAACGCAGUAAUUUUUUGUAUAGACUCGUAUUUGUAUUGAGAAAUCCAGUAAAUAUAUAAGUAUUAGUAGUUGGGAACCCAGUUACAAAGUCAUCUGUUGGUCACGUGGCAGAGAUUGCACCUGUUAAGCUCGGGCGCCCUCCUUCACGAGGGAUCGAUUCCCCUCUGUGGCACUUAUAUUGUCUCUUUUUUACCAUUGAUAGUACAGAAAAGGCUCAAAUAUGCCAUCGAACUAUCGGAAAUGGCUUAUUUAUGCCACUCAUCAAUAGUUUGGCUCAUUUAUGCCAUCGAACUAUCGGAAAUGGCUCAUUUAUGCCACUCAUCAAUAGUUUGGCUCAUUUAUGCCAUCGCUUGUUGCCAAAAUGACUCAUCCAUGCAAUUUUUCAUUAACACCGAUUUUAUAAUACCAUUUAUGACACGUGGCCUCCAAUCAGAGGUCUACGUCGUUUAAUUAAACAGCCCAAUUUUAAAUCCCAAAUUAAUAAAACAUCCGACCCAUACACCCUACUCACCCACAACCAUAAUCUAGUUGGAGGCCACGUGUCCUAUCUGGUAUUGUAAAAACCGGCGUUAAUGAAAAAUAGUGUGGAUGAGUCAUUUUGGUAACAGGCGAUGGCAUAAAUGAGCCAAACUAUUGACGAGUGGCAUAAAUGAGCCAUUUUAUAUAGUUCGAUGGUAUUAAUGAGCCAAACUAUUGAUGAGUGACAUAAAUGAGCCAUUUCCGAUAGUUCGAUGGCAUAUUUGAGCCUUUUCCGUUGAUAGUAUAAGAAUCAUUAGUUGGGGACCCAGUAACAAAGUUAUCUACUGGUCACUUUUUAAGCUACACUUAUUUUGUCUCUUUUUUGUUUUAAAAAACAAAAAAGUUGAGAUUGUUGGAACCCAUAAACUUCAAAUCCUGAAUUUGCCUCUGAGUGCAAUAAAAUGUAUACAUACAUAGUCUAUAAUUUUUCAGAAAUUUACAUGGUGCGAAUAGAAAGCAGUAGGUUCGGUUAAGCGCACUGUGCGGAACUGAAUCGUCAUCUAUCCCUACUCCUGUCCCACUUCUUUAAGUGGAUUAAUUUGACUUUUCUGAUAAAAUUUGAAAUUUCUAGAGUGAUGUAUGACCUCAAUUUUUCCAAGCCCAAGAAAAAAAUUAGUCUUUGAUAGACUAGGAUGGAGUCAAUUUUGAAUAAUCAAAUCCAAAAGGCUAAGUUAAGUAAUAAGUUAUAAUUUAAAAUUGAAUGCAGUUACUGUUAUCCCUGUAUUCAAAUCAUAUUUACUGAAAAACAAAAACGUUUUAGUUUCGAGCCCACAAAAUUGUGUUUCCUUAAGGAAUUUAAUCCCCUCACAAUGGCCCAAGGUUUGGAUUAAUUCCUCACAGGAUAGAAUGAAACUCUAUUCUGCAAUACUGGCAAUCGAGAUUGCAGAACUUCAGCGAACUCAAUAAACGACAGUAAAUCACACGACACUUACUUUUCUCUUUGGAAAACAAUGCAUAGAAGAGGAGAUGAAGAAGAUUAAUUUCAGAGAGUAGCUGCGUGAUAUUAGUGUGUGAAAUGAGGCGAAACCUCUGAAAUUUUUUAUGGCCAACUGUUGGAGUCUCAACAGGUGCGAAAAUGCCUAUUGGCAAGAGCGGUUGGGAAAUUUGUUACCGUUUGAGAAUUAUUUUUUACCGUGAAUUUAAGUUUAAAUUUUCCGCGGAAAAAAAUAAAUAAUCAGAAAUGGAAUAUUAAAUAACGGAAAAUGGAAAUAAAUUCGGUCCAAAAAAUAUAUCAAUCAAAUCAUUUGACCAAAUCCAAAUCUAAAUCCGAAGUCGAGCCGAGGGACGACGCAAGGGAAUACUCUCUUCAACUCUUUAAGAGCUAGAAGAAGUGAUUCUAUAUAUAAGCACAUAAGAAGUGUUUACCCCCACCAAUGAGGUACAAAGUGCCUUUGCUAAAAUGAAAUUUGUUUGAAUUUCAUUUCUCUCCAUUUUAUUUCCCACCAUUUCUCAAUUCACACUUCAUCUUUAAAGCCCAACACUUGAAGUCUUUAAAGCCCAACAAUCCCCCACAUGAAUGGGGAAUGACUAUAUUAUGAAAACAUGCAUGAAAAUACUGUGUGAUUUACAAGAAACAAUUAAUCGCAUCUGGGUAAGAAACUUAAGGUAUUUUAUUUACACAUUUCUGUUUCAUCUUAUAUUUUGUUUUGGUUGGAGAUUAAAAUCUUCGGAUUUUCUACUCCGUUAAUUUACUCGAUGUGAAGAUAUAAAAAUUUAAUUUACUCGAUGUGAAGAUAUAAAUACUUGCUCAAGGUAAUAAGUUUUUGCAUUCGGUUUGAAGAAUAUAAAAACAUAACGUCAUCGAUUUAUUAAUUCUAUUUCUGUUGUACCAAACAAAAUGGGAGAAACAACGCUACUGUGAAUGCUAAUGGUUCUGGUGCAACAAAUGUUGCCUCGUCCAGCAGCACUACUCCAGCAAGCAAUACCAGUGGCAGAAAAGCCCAAAAAAUUUUCCAGCAUUGACUUUAAGCACUGGCAGCAAAAGAUGUUUUUCUACUUGAUCACCUUCAGUUUGCAGAAGUUUAUUACUGAGGAUGUUCCAGUCCUGUCAGAUGAUACUCCUAACAACGAGCGCUUUGUGGUGACAGAGGCGUGGAAACAUUCUAACUUUCUUUGCAAAAAUUAUAUUCUGAAUGGUUUGGAAGAUGGUAUCUAUAAUGUUUAUAGCGUGUGUAAAUUUUCUAAAGAGUUAUGAAAUGCUUUGGACAAGAAAUACAAGACCGAAGACGCUGGACUGAACCAAAUUUCUGAAAUUUAAAAUGAUUGACAGCAAAUCUGUCAUGUCGUAGGUCCAGAAAUUACAAGUUAUUAUUCACGAUCUCUUUGCAGAAGGAAUGAGAAUUAACAAAGUUUUUCAAGUUGCCUCCUUUGUGGAGGGACUUUAAAAACUACUCGAAGCAUAAAAGCAAGGAGAUAAAGUUGGAAGAUCUAAUUGUUCGUCUCAGAAUUGAAAAGUACAGCAGAUCUGUAGAAAAGAAAGCGAAUGAAAAGUCAGCAAUAAUGGGGGGGAGUAUUGUUGAAAAUGCUCCAACAAAUUUGAAGAAAAGGAAAAGGGCUUCUGGACUAAAAAAUUUUCCAAGUAAGAAGAAGUUCAAACAAAAUUGCUACAACUGUGGCAAGUUUGGACACGUGUCUACAGAAUGCUGUGAGAGGCGGAUCUAAAAUUUAAACUCUAGGGGUUCAAUCUUUUAAUUUUUUAGCAUUGAGCCAUUAUAUGUCUAAAGUUAUGGGUUCAUAUCUAUUAUUUAUUGUAAUUUUAGUAAAUUUUUACACAUAAAUUUGUACCCCGCAUUGAAAGUUUGGGGUUCAAUUGAACCCCUAGUUAAUGUGCUUCAUCCGCCUCUGAAUGCUGUGCUCUAAAGAAAGAUAAAGAUAAGAAGAAGGGUCAAGCAAACAUGACAGAAAUUAAUGAAGACGUGGACAACUUAUGUGUCAUGCUUUCAGAAUGCAACUUGCUGGACCCGAAGAGACAAUUUUCAUGGCAAAUUCUGCUAUUGCAAAAAUAGAAGGAACAGUCAAGAUUGCUUUGACAUCAAGCAAGAUUGUGACUCUAAACAAUGUCCUUCAUGUUCCUGAACUGCGGAAGAAUUUAGUAUCAACAUCACUUCUAGUCAAAAACGGAUUCAAGUGUGUUUUUGUUUCCGACAAGGUUGUAGUUUGCAAAAAUGAGAUAUAUGCAGGAAAGGGUUACCUUACUGAGGGCCUUUUCAAACUCAAUGUAAUUGCAGUUGAUAGGAAUAAAAAUUUUGUUUCUUCUUACUUA